UAAGGGAUAUUGCACAAUGGGCGCAAGCCUGAUGCAGCAACGCCGCGUGCGCGAGGAAGGCCUUCGGGUCGUAAAGCGCUUUUCGAGCUGAAGAAACGGACGGUAAGCUCGGAAUAAGUGUCGGCUAACUACGUGCCAGCAGCCGCGGUAAAACGUAGGACGCAAGCGUUAUCCGGAGUUACUGGGCGUAAAGCGCAAGCAGGCUGUAGCGCAAGUGGGGCGUGAAAGCUCUCGGCUAAACCGGGAGAGGCCGUUCCAAACUGCGCAACUGGAGCACAGCAGAGGUAGGCGGAAUUCCGGGUGGAGUGGUGAAAUGCGUAGAGAUCCGGAGGAACACCAGAGGCGAAGGCGGCCUACUGGGCUGUGACUGACGCUGAGAUGCGACAGCUAGGGGAGCGAACGGG
rnacentral:rRNA from 1 species